UACGGGGGGGGCAAGCGUUGUUCGGAAUUACUGGGCGUAAAGGGCUCGUAGGCGGCCAACUAAGUCCGACGUGAAAUCCCCAGGCUUAACCUGGGAACUGCGUCGGAUACUGGAUGGCUUGAAUUCGGGAGAGGGAUGCAGAAUUCCAGGUGUAGCGGUGAAAUGCGUAGAUAUCUGGAGGAAUACCGGUGGCGAAGGCGGCAUCCUGGACCGAGAUUGACGCUGAGGAGCGAAGGCUAGGGGAGCAAACGGG
rnacentral:rRNA from 1 species